AACGAACGCUGGCGGCAGGCUUAACACAUGCAAGUCGAGCGAGACCUUCGGGUCUAGCGGCGGACGGGUGAGUAACGCGUGGGAACGUGCCCUUCUCUACGGAAUAGCCCCGGGAAACUGGGAGUAAUACCGUAUACGCCCUUUGGGGGAAAGAUUUAUCGGAGAAGGAUCGGCCCGCGUUGGAUUAGGUAGUUGGUGGGGUAAUGGCCCACCAAGCCGACGAUGCAUAGCUGGUUUGAGAGGAUGAUCAGCCACACUGGGACUGAGACACGGCCCAGACUCCUACGGGAGGCAGCAGUGGGGAAUCUUAGACAAGGGGGGCAAACCUGAUCUAGCCAUGCCGCGUGAGUGAUGAAGGCCUUAGGGUUGUAAAGCUCUUUCAGCUGGGAAGAUAAUGACGGUACCAGCAGAAGAAGCCCCGGCUAACUCCGUG
rnacentral:rRNA from 1 species